AUUGACCGCUGGCGGCAGGCCUAACACAUGCAAGUCGAACGAGUGGCGGACGGGUGAGUAAUGUCUGGGAAACUGCCUGAUGGAGGGGGAUAACUACUGGAAACGGUAGCUAAUACCGCAUACCAUCGGAUGUGCCCAGAUGGGAUUAGCUAGUAGGUGGGGUAAAGGCUCACCUGGGCGACGAUCCCUAGCUGGUCUGAGAGGAAGACCAGCCUCGCUGGAACUGAGACACUGUCCACACUCCGACGGGAGACAGCAUCGGGGAAUAUUGCACAAUGGGCGCAAGCCUGAUGCAGCCAGGCCGCGUGUAUGAAGAAUGCCUUCGGGUUGUAAAGUACUUUCAGCUGGGAGGCGUUGCCCGCAGAAGAAGCACCGGCUAACGCAGUGCCAGCAGCCGCGGUAAUAC
rnacentral:rRNA from 1 species